rnacentral:rRNA from 1 species
UACGUAGGGGGCUAGCGUUGUCCGGAUUUAUUGGGCGUAAAGAGCGUGUAGGCGGCCAGGUAGGUCUGCUGUGAAAACUCGAGGCUCAACCUCGAGACGUCGGCGGAAACCAUCUGGCUAGAGUCCGGAAGAGGAGAGUGGAAUUCCUGGUGUAGCGGUGAAAUGCGCAGAUAUCAGGAAGAACACCCGUGGCGAAAGCGGCUCUCUGGAACGGUACUGACGCUGAGACGCGAAAGCGUGGGGAGCAAACAGG